ACAGGGAGGUGCGCAUUCGGAACGCUUCCCGGCGACUGACUGUAGUACACUAUGGCAGUCACUCAAAGAUCGAAGAUGAUGUUUCUCGUCUUCUCAUAACCAUCGUGGGCGUGGCUUGCGACGGACACGCCCUCCACACGUCCUGGGCACAAAUCGACCAGCUAUGGAAGGACGAAGCCGAGGCCAUAGCACGGAUACAGACGACAGUGCAUUCACUGAACAAAUUAAAUGAAGUACUGAAAAGAUACGUCGCGUCAUGGGAGGACCUCACAGGAGGAGGCGACGCGGGGGCGAGGAGCGGAGACCCAGCGGCUGCCUACUCCUUACUCCAUCACGUGUCAAGAGGCUGGAAACACGUCGACUCAGCGCUGCAGGAAACCAAGGGAAUUUUCGGUGACAUUGAAUACUUGGCUUCGCGUCCGGACAGAGAACUGCUUCCGAACACCGACGACUUGAUUGGCGCGUCCGAAUCCCUGGCGAGACUGGCGCAUGUGUAUCGUCUCAAUACUACCGAAUUGGCACGCGGGAGUCUUUAUACUGCAGUGGACCAGGAAAGG